CCAACAUGCCCAUUCCUUCAACUGUGAUUGGUUGGUCGACACGCAAGUAACUAAAAAUAGAAUAGGUAUUGCACCAUAAAAUACUGAGAAAAGACGAAGUUAAGACAUUAGAUAGACCGCACUAGAAACCAGAGGGAAAGCGUGAAAUUUCAGGGCUGGAUCAAGCAACCGACGGCCGCAUAGGCAAAGGAUUCCAUCAAGCUGAGUAAAUAUACAAGCUACAACAUCGGAGAGACAAGUAAAUCAAACAAGAUUUCAAACAACUUUAAUCUCGAGGAGGCGUCGGCAGGCCAUUUCAUGGACAUGCAGGGUGAAGAAAUUAGAUUGGUUCCCUCUGGGGAGUAUUUUCCGAAAGAUUUAAACGAACUGGUUGACUGGUUGGAGAUUAAGGAGGAUCUCAAAGAUGGCACAAAAAAUGUUGGACACUUCACACAACAUCGUACCGCAUUUGGACCAGAAGACCGGUGGCCUAUUUGACGAAGACCAGGCUAGUGACAAGUUCCAUGUUACUGGCAACGACACGGCAUCUGACCUUUUAUCAGCCAUUGAUAAUGGAUCAGAUAUUUUGAGUUUAAAUAAUUUCAACCCUUUAUUUGGAGAAAUGGAUCCUUUUGCCGAAGCUAGUCUUGACAGCUUUGUUGAUCUUUCUGCAUAUCUAAUGGAGGAGUCAAUCCCAGUUGCAGACGUAACGCCUGACACUGUUUCAGUGGACGAUGGCACUUCUGCAACAAAUAAACGUAAAUGGCAUGACGUUGAAGAGGUCGUGGAAAUUGACACCAACCCAGUGUUAACCACCACACCAGACCACGCCUACAGUGCCAAAAAGCCUAGAUUGACUUCUGCACCAGAUGCUUAUGAUACUGACCAGUCUUCCGAGGCCAGUUGUUCUAACCCAAAUAAAUAUCGCGUGCGUAGGGAAAAAAAUAACAUUGCUUCAAAAAGGUCUCGUGAAAUUAGGAAGAACAAGUUCACAGAAAUGGAAGACAAGGCUAAUGUCCUUGUGGUAGAAAAUGAAAAAAUGCGAGAAAAGAUUGUUGAGUUGGAGGCUCUUGCUAAAGAAAUGAAGGCGGUUUUAGUAGCCCGCUUGUCUGCCAAGUAAGGUAGUGGAAUAACACUACAGUAGGCCUAGGUAAAUACGCCAAAAUAUUUCAUUUUCUGCUGUAACGACAUUGGCAGUGGUUAGUUAAUGUAUUGUAUAUUAGUGCUAAUUGAUUAUAAAUCCUUGAAUUUUUGAUAUUUUGUUAAAAUAUUGUCUAAGAUUAAUAUUACAUGUAUAUCCAUGUAUAACCAAGCAUAGGGUACAAAUAAGUUGACCCAGAGAAAACAACUAAAAAUAUUACAAAAUAUAAAUACAAAAAAAAGAAAUAUAUCUUAUUUUGUAAUAUUAAAUAAAUGUUAUGCACAUGAAUAAACCCAUGUUAAAAUAUAGAUGCCAUCCUUUGAUAUUCGUGUACCGUUAUUUAAUAUAAUGUACAGGCAGCAAGGCUAAUCGUACAUUAUUUAUACUAGUUCAAAUAUUGGAUUAGCAUGACGAUUUCAUUGAAAUGCGCGUGCUGGAUAGUAUCUCUAUUUUAAGUUGUUUAAUGGUCUCGAGCAUGACAUUAGGCAAUGGCAAUAUAGCCUAUUGACACAACACUUGGGCGGACGUCCUCGUGCAAGUUCAAUAUGCUCCUGAUCAUUAAACCACACAUAUAAUAUAUAAUCUAUUUUGUUAAAUUAAUGAUUUGUUCAUUUCCUUUUAUUACCAUUUUACAUCGUUGUAUAGUCUCAUUAGCAUUUAGUAAAACCAACAAAAAAACCUUCAAAGUUUAGCAUUAGAAAAUUUACAAAAAUAAAGUGUAUUGUUUUAUUUUAGUGAUAUGAACUAAUGACUACUUUAGUUAUUACCAUUUUACAUCGUUGUAUAGUCUCAUUAGCAUUUAGUAAAACAAACAAAAAAACUUCAAAGUUUAGCAUUAGAAAAUUUACAAAAAUAGAGUAUAUUGUUUUAUUUUAGUGAUAUGAACUAAUGACUACUUUAGUUGCACGAAUUGACAAUGAUUAUUUGUUGUAAUAACAGACAGCUUUAUGGAUAACAUUCACUAGGUUUAUCAACAGCAAUGUUUCAAUGAGGAUACUCCCACCAUUAUCAAGCAAUGCCCUUUAAAGAUAAUAUUUGUUGUACAUCUUAUAACCACAUGUUUAUUGUCCAUAGAAUUUUGAUUGCUCAUAAACACUUCUAAUAAAAGUGGGAUUAUAGUUUGAUUUGUUUAGUAUAUGAAAUAAUGGUUUAAUAUGAUGCAUAUUGACUGCUUUAUAAUAUGUUCUGUUGUACUUAUUUAUAAGUGAUAUUUCACAGUUUAUGCCAGAUUAUACACUGGUAGAGAAAGACAACUUGUCAAUUAUUACUGUUAAUUGUUAGGGAAUUCUCAUACAUCUUGUAUAUAAAAUGAAAUUAUUUACAAAUUUUAUUGGAGUUAUUACUGGUACUGCACAUAUAUUUCCGUAUUGUAUAUUAAAUUAGAUUUAAUUAGGAUUAUUACUGGAACUGUUCAAAUCCUUAUUUACUAAAUUCACUGGAACAUAUUUGACCAGCUUUAUGCAAAGUUUCUUUUUUUUUUAUAAAAGUUAACUUCUAGAGGUUAUUGCUAUAUUUCAUAAUAAAUAUUUCAUAGCUUUUUUUUAAAAACCUCAUUAUAACCUGGGAAUAUCAUGAUGUAACUCUGAUAUACUCAGGUUAUGAGGGCAUAUAUUGUAUUAUAUAUGACGAAUGCCACAAUUUUGUAUCAUUUUAUAUUCUUGUUAGAUAUUAUUAAUAACCAUAUUUAUAUUAUAAUGAUUUUGUACUACAUAUGUUAACAAUGUACAAAUCUAAAAGUUGGCAUUAGCUUUUAAAACUAAAUACCGGUUAAAAAAUAUAAAAUGCCUAUAUGUAUAUUUAUUUGUUAUAUUUUUGUUGAUAUGAAUUUUUUUUUUAUGGAGUCAAUAAAUUGUCUUAAAUGUU